rnacentral:rRNA from 1 species
UACGUAGGUGGCAAGCGUUGUCCGGAAUUACUGGGUGUAAAGCGCACGUAGGCGGCUUUCUAAGUCAGGGGUGAAAUCCUGGAGCUCAACUCCAGAACUGCCUUUGAUACUGGAGAGCUUGAGUCCGGAAGAGGUGAGUGGAACUCCGAGUGUAGAGGUGAAAUUCGUAGAUAUUCGGAAGAACACCAGUGGCGAAGGCGGCUCACUGGUCCGGUACUGACGCUGAGGUGCGAAAGCGUGGGGAGCAAACAGG